UAAAAAGUGGUGUAUGUGGACGCACUUAGAGUUUUGGUCUCUAGAGGGCGGGUUCAAGUCCUGUUUUUUUAG
rnacentral:tRNA from 1 species